UUUAAUUGAUUUCUUCGGAAUGAAGUUUUUGUGACUGAGUGGCGGACGGGUGAGUAACGCGUGGGUAACCUGCCUCAUACAGGGGGAUAACAGUUGGAAACGACUGCUAAUACCGCAUAAGCGCACAGAGCUGCAUGGCUCGGUGUGAAAAACUCCGGUGGUAUAAGAUGGACCCGCGUUGGAUUAGCUAGUUGGUGAGGUAACGGCCCACCAAGGCGACGAUCCAUAGCCGGCCUGAGAGGGUGAACGGCCACAUUGGGACUGAGACACGGCCCAAACUCC
rnacentral:rRNA from 1 species